ACGGGGGCCCGCACAAGCGGUGGAGCACGUGGUUUAAUUCGAUGCCAACCGAAGAACCUUACCUGGACUUGACAUCCCUGGAACCUGGUAGAGAUACUGGGGUGCCCUGCUUGCAGGGAACCAGGAGACAGGUGCUGCAUGGCUGUCGUCAGCUCGUGCCGUGAGGUGUUGGGUUAAGUCCGCUAACGAGCGCAACCCUCGUCGUGUGUUAUACGUGUCACACGAUACUGCCGGUAUCAAGCCGGAGGAAGGUGGGGAUGAUGUCAAGUCAGCAUGGCCUUUAUAUCCUGGGCUACACACACGCUACAAUGGCAGAUACAAUAGGUCGCGAAACCGCGAGGUGGAGCCAAUCCUCAAAGUCUGUCUCAGUUCAGAUUGUAGGCUGCAACUCGCCUGCAUGAAGUCGGAGUUGCUAGUAAACGCAGGUCAGCUAUACUGCGUUGAAUACGUUCCCGGGGUUU
rnacentral:rRNA from 1 species